UAUGGCUCAGAUUGAACGCUGGCGGCAUGCCUACACAUGCAAGUCGAACGGCAGCACGGGAGCAAUCCUGGUGGCGAGUGGCGAACGGGUGAGUAAUACAUCGGAACGUGCCCAGUAGUGGGGGAUAGCCCGGCGAAAGCCGGAUUAAUACCGCAUACGACCUACGGGUGAAAGCGGGGGAUCGCAAGACCUCGCGCUAUCGGAGCGGCCGAUGUCAGAUUAGCUAGUUGGUGGGUAAAAGCCUACCAAGGCGACGAUCUGUAGCUGGUCUGAGAGGACGACCAGCCACACUGGGACUGAGACACGGCCCAGACUCCUACGGGAGGCAGCAGUGGGGAAUUUUGGACAAUGGGGGCAACCCUGAUCCAGCCAUGCCCGCGUGCGGGAAGAAGGCCUUCGGGUUGUAAACCGCUUUUGUCAGGGAAGAAAAGUUCUGGGCCAAUACCCCGGAACGAUGACGGUACCUGAAGAAUAAGCACCGGCUAACUACGUGCCAGCAGCCGC
rnacentral:rRNA from 1 species